UUGAACGCUGGCGGCAGGCCUAACACAUGCAAGUCGAACGGUAACAGGAAGCAGCUUGCUGCUUUGCUGACGAGUGGCGGACGGGUGAGUAAUGUCUGGGAAACUGCCUGAUGGAGGGGGAUAACUACUGGAAACGGUAGCUAAUACCGCAUAACGUCGCAAGACCAAAGAGGGGGACCUUCGGGCCUCUUGCCAUCGGAUGUGCCCAGAUGGGAUUAGCUUGUUGGUGGGGUAACGGCUCACCAAGGCGACGAUCCCUAGCUGGUCUGAGAGGAUGACCAGCCACACUGGAACUGAGACACGGUCCAGACUCCUACGGGAGGCAGCAGUGGGGAAUAUUGCACAAUGGGCGCAAGCCUGAUGCAGCCAUGCCGCGUGUAUGAAGAAGGCCUUCGGGUUGUAAAGUACUUUCAGCGGGGAGGAAGGGAGUAAAGUUAAUACCUUUACUCAUUGACGUUACCCGCAGAAGAAGCACCGGCUAACUCCGUGCCAGCAGCCGCGGUAAUACGGAGGGUGCAAGCGUUAAUCGGAAUUACUGGGCGUAAAGCGCACGCAGGCGGUUUGUUAAGUCAGAUGUGAAAUCCCCGGGCUCAACCUGGGAACUGCAUCUGAUACUGGCAAGCUUGAGUCUCGUAGAGGGGGGUAGAAUUCCAGGUGUAGCGGUGAAAUGCGUAGAGAUCUGGAGGAAUACCGGUGGCGAAGGCGGCCCCCUGGACGAAGACUGACGCUCAGGUGCGAAAGCGUGGGGAGCAAACAGGAUUAGAUACCCUGGUAGUCCACGCCGUAAACGAUGUCGACUUGGAGGUUGUGCCCUUGAGGCGUGGCUUCCGGAGCUAACGCGUUAAGUCGACCGCCUGGGGAGUACGGCCGCAAGGUUAAAACUCAAAUGAAUUGACGGGGGCCCGCACAAGCGGUGGAGCAUGUGGUUUAAUUCGAUGCAACGCGAAGAACCUUACCUGGUCUUGACAUCCACAGAACUUUCCAGAGAUGGAUUGGUGCCUUCGGGAACUGUGAGACAGGUGCUGCAUGGCUGUCGUCAGCUCGUGUUGUGAAAUGUUGGGUUAAGUCCCGCAACGAGCGCAACCCUUAUCCUUUGUUGCCAGCGGUCCGGCCGGGAACUCAAAGGAGACUGCCAGUGAUAAACUGGAGGAAGGUGGGGAUGACGUCAAAUCAUCAUGCCCUUUAUGUCCUGGGCUACACACGUACUACAAUGGGUGUAACAGAGGGAAGCAACACAGCGAUGUGAAGCGAAACCCAAAAAGCACCCCCAGUUCGGAUUGAAGGCUGAAAUUCGCCUUCAUGAAGCCGGAAUUGCUAGUAAUGGCAGGUCAGCAUACUGCCGUGAAUACGUUCCCGGGCCUUGUACACACCGCCCGUCACACCAUGAGAGUUGGGGAUACCCGAAGCCUGUGAGCCAACAUAUCUAUGAGGCAGCAGUCGAAGGUAGAAUCAAUGAUUGGGGUG
rnacentral:rRNA from 1 species